rnacentral:rRNA from 1 species
AUUGAACGCUGGCGGCAGGCCUAACACAUGCCAGUCGAACGGUAACAGGAAGAAGCUUGCUUCUUUGCUGACGAGUGGCGGACGGGUGUGUAAUGUCUGGGAAACUGCCUGAUGGAGGGGGAUAACUACUGGAAACGGUAGCUAAUACCGCAUAACGUCGCAAGACCAAAGAGGGGGACCUUCGGGCCUCUUGCCAUCGGAUGUGCCCAGAUGGGAUUAGCUAGUAGGUGGGGUAACGGCUCACCUAGGCGACGAUCCCUAGCUGGUCUGAGAGGAUGACCAGCCACACUGGAACUGAGACACGGUCCAGACUCCUACGGGAGGCAGCAGUGGGGAAUAUUGCACAAUGGGCGCAAGCCUGAUGCAGCCAUGCCGCGUGUAUGAAGAAGGCCUUCGGGUUGUAAAGUACUUUCAGCGGGGAGGAAGGGAGUAAAGUUAAUACCUUUGCUCAUUGACGUUACCCGCAGAAGAAGCACCGGCUAACUCCGUG